GAUGCACAAGAAUAUAUGGUCAGUUCAUCAGCUUGUAUUUUCAUUUCCUGAUAUUUAUAGCACGAAACAAGCUUCAGUUACUAAUCUAUGUUUUGUGGUAGUAUUAUAGGCUUAAGCAUCCAGGAGUUGAAAAGUAAAAUGAGAGGCACUGCAUCACCACUGUCAUGCUGCGUAUCUUUUGUUUACAUGUACCAACUGAACAAAUGCUUAAAGUUGUGCUCCUUGAGCAUAUUUCAUUUUUUGUUUUCAGUAUUAAUUCAGUGUGAGAUUUUAGUAAGGUAAAUGGCAUCAUGAAGAAAAGGACAAGGUAAUAUUAGUAAAGUAAAUAUCAAUGUGCAAUAAAGGCAGUGACAAUGCAGUUACCGCCAGUGAAACUAAAAAAAUUGUUAGUUGAAAAUAAACAACUUAGGACUUUGUUGUUUAGCAAGGUGUUAAUAAUAUCAGUUCACUACUUAGGACUUUGUUGUUUAGCAAGGUGUCAAUAAUAUCAGUUCACUGCUCAGUGGGAAGGAUGAUAAAUAACGGGAUACUGCAGCACCUCACAAUGGCUCAAGAUUGAGUGUGAGGUUCAAUACAGCAAACAUACCUCUAAGCCUGUAUUUUACAAGGAAACUGGGGGUCAUUUUUUAUUUAUUUAUUUAUUUUUUGCAGCAGAGGAAGCAGCUAAAAAAAAAAAAAAAAAAAAAAAAAAAAAAAAAAAAUAAAAAAAAAAACUGAAAAAAA